GCUCCCAAUACGCACACCCCUCCUCCCUUCGUCUCUCUGCACAAGCCCUUUGCUCGGGGAGGUGCGAGAGAGAGCGACAAUGGCGUCGCCGUCGGCGGGUCCAGGCGAGGUCGCGACGGCGAGGAGAGGAAUGGCGGGCGCUCGGUUCCGGGGAGAUGUUCGGACUUAGCGGCGCUCGGUCAGGCCUCCGACGUCGACCCUGCUCCCGCUCACCUGCAACAGCGGCGUAAAGUAAGUUUGGGAUCUGCUUACAAGCCAUUAUUCCACUUCGGAUAUUGCCCAUCAGUAUCAACUGCUAGAGAAGCUACAACAUAUGCGUAAGGAGAUUGGUCAGUCCAUCAAUGAUUUUUUAUCUUCUAUGCCUGCCAUCUGGGAUCAAUUAGCCUUAUUUGAACCACGACGGGAUGUGGCUACUGAUGCUUGCAAAUUUGCUGAGUACCGUGAUCGUAUGCGUGUUAUGCAAUUUUUGAUAGCCUUGAAUGAUGAGUUUCAACCUGUGCGAGCUUCACUUUUGCAUAGAGAUCCUUUUCCUCGUCUUGAGACAGUUGUCUCGGAAUUAUUGACCGAUGAGACUCGACUGGCUACUUUAAAGGUGCAAAGCGAUACCAUAUAAAUAUCUACACCUACUGAUGCGGUGCUUGCUACUUCCACUUCUUCCUCAUUGUGCAACCAAUUUUGUAAAGCAUUGUCACCGACAUGGUCAUAUGGCAUCCAAUUGCUACCGACUACGACGUAAGUAACUUACACGGCCAGACAAUCGACCCCGAAACCGAGGUCCAUAUACAAGUUUGUUCGCCACUGAUCCUACCAUAGAUGCUUCUCCAAAGGGAUUUUCGUCACUCUAUUCUUAGAGGAUCUUUGUACCAUUCUUCGAGAAUCUGGUACUUCUAGCUCAUCCACGAUCACAUGACUUCAGAUUCUAACGUGCGUCAAUUUAAAUCCUUCACUCUAUGUCUACCUACUACUCACAAAUUUGAAUAGCCAAUAACUCACAAAUGAGAGUCAGUCAUACAGGAAACUUUUCAACAUCUACAUUACCCUUAUUAACUCCUUUUUGGUUCCCAAACUCUCACUAAAUUUGAUUUCUGUAAGACAAUUGUGUGAACUCGGUUUUGAUAGUCACUUCUCUUCUAAUGAUUGUCAUGUGCAGGAUCCACGGACGGGACAGACAAUUGGGACGAGCCAUAGAGUUGGACACUUUUGAGCUUGUUACCUUAAAUAUCUGGAACUCUUUUGCUAGUUUUGUAGCCACGGUGUCAUUGAAACUUGGCAUUCUCAAUUAGAUCAUGCUUCUGCAUCUAUAUUAAGUUCUUUGAUUUCAAGUUGUCAUCUAGGUUUUGUUGGCAAUAAACAUUUUGAUUGUUUGGUUUGUAAGUUGGAAUCUUGGUGAAUUUGUCUCUCAUGCUUCCUUUGAUCUGAUUUUCUUUUCUUCGAUAUUUUAGGACUAUCUCCAAUCCCCACUGUUCUCACUAUUUUAAUUUUUGUUGACAAUCAGUCUUGUUAUACCUAACUUUACCUAAUGAAAAAAUUGGUCUGAACUUAGUCAUACCUAUCGUGAUUUUGUUGCCAUGAUGAAAACAUAAUUUUCUCAAGAUAUCAUCAUUCAUUGUUCUGGUCCUGGAACUUCCCAACAAAAUGGUCGAGCAGAAUGUAAACAUAGACAUGUCUUGGAUGUUGCAUGCACUCUUCUGGUCUUCCUCUCUUGUCCUAAACACUGUGGAAAGGCUUGUCAUACUGCUUUAUUCAUCCACUCGUACUUCUGAUUAUGUAAACUAGAUUUUGGGGGAAUUUUUUGUAUUCUUUCACAAGUUGAUUGGAAAGUGGUGGUUAUCUGCUUUUUUUAGAACAAGCUUCCCUUUUAAUAAUUUGAUUGAGAUGCGCUGAAUUGUUGGACAAGUUUGUGCUGAAACUGCGAGGUUUUAAAUUUUGAAGAUGGAUUGCAGUUACCACAUGACUGUUGCUCCUUCUGUUACUUCUUGACAUCUAGUGGGGUUUGAUACAGGUUCUUCUUCUUGAUAGCUAGUCAAGACCAAGUUAGAUCAAGAUGUUCACAAAUAAUUAGCAUAAAAACAAGACUUUAGGUCUAAAAGGCUUGUUUCGUCAUUUAUCGAAAAAGUGUUGAUGCACCUAACUAGUGAGUCUAGUUUAUGCUCCCCAUGUUAGGAAAAUGUCUCAAGCAGAGGUAAGAGGAACGUGCUGGUUAGGUGUUCCAUCUUCAUAUGAUACCUUUGAGUACGAAAUGAUAUCUGAAUCUGGUGUAUGGUAGAGUAAACUUUUUUAUGAGUAGUUAGUAAAACUCUUAUUCACCUAUACUAUAUCACAUCUUCUUGAUCAUCUAAUGCUCAUCUAUGGUUUUGGUAUUGAAAACAAUGAUAUUGUCUCCCAUUUGACAAGUCAUGCAUUAGAGUUUUUCAAUUGCUAAAUUAUGAUGAAGAGGACGUGUUUGCACUUGGGUUCUAUAAUGGGAAUUACUUCUAUGGAUCCUUUCUCUGUGCUUUGAGGAAUCACGAGAGUACAAAAACAUGGUAUUGUUUUGUUUGUCAUUCUAGUUUAGGGCUUGCGUAAUAGUAUCAUGGAAAAAGGUGACCGAGAAAAGGUUGAGAUGUAUCUAAUUCGGAAGUUAUUUUCUUUGCUUUGUUUUUACUGUUUCGUAUUGGCUGCAAGUCUAUGCUCAGAUAGCUCAAUGACUGAAUCCCAGAAGGCUAAGUCUAUUCUCCCAUUUUUCGACAUUUGCCUUUCCAUCCUGCCAGUCUAUGUUCAGAUAUCUUAAUAAGGGUAUACUAGAUUUUCUUUGGGCACCCAGAUGGAGGCUUUUAUAUUGCUGUGAUUGAGCAUGUUAUUAUGUCGGAUGCUUGUGCAAUGAGCACGUGUGUUUUUAGUACCAUAUGAUAGAACAGUCACCUGGGAGCUGGGGUAUGAUUGAAUGCAAGCUGAACGCCUUUUGUGCAUGUGUUUGAGCUGAGGUAUCUAAGUAUCUGACAGAUUUUCUCAUGCUGUUGACUGUUGAGGCUUUUUGUUAUGUAAACUCAUUUAUCAUGUCAACAUAUUAUUUUUUUGGAAUCAGCAGUUCUCUCAUUUUAUCCUAGUUCUAUUGAACUGUAAUAGAACCCUGCAUCAAUUAUCUUCUUUCUGUGAUGUCAAAUGAAAUUUUCUCACAAUCUUAUUAUGCAAAGAACUUUGCAUGUCAAAUAUCUUUGUACUCCUUGAAAGUCUCCAAUCUAAUCAAUUUGCUAUCGUUUUGACUUAAGGUAGCAGGUAGAGGACACGCUAGCAUAAUUCUUGCUUUAUUAUGCGCUAGCAUAAUUCUCCUUGGCAAAUGCACAUCUUAAAGCAAUGUCCUUAAUCUAGGUUAUCGAUUCUAAGAGCUGAUAUUGAUCUCAACGAUUGAGAGGUGAUUUUUUACUUGGACACCUAAAAUAUCACCAGUAACAUUUAGCUAGUCGCUGUGAUGUGUGAACUCUGAAGGUCAAGAAAGUGAACUGAGUGAGAUGCCAGAGUGGGCUUUAAAAACCUAAGGCCUUUAAAACUCUGCCAAGCAAAAUAUACACGCACCAAACUGAAUGGUUUUUAUGGCUCUGUAAUCUGGAUACAGGCACUCCUGGCUGAUUUUGAAGUCUGUGAUGGCAUCUGACAUUUAAAAUGCUGAUUCAGUAUGUUUAUGGCUGGCAGCAAAUUUAUCUGUUAGAGUAUUCAUAUAAACUGGUCGUACUCGAGUUUAAUCAAUGUACCUUUCUCUCCAAUAAUGAUGUCAAGUAUCUGAUUUAUUGCAUAAGUUCGUGUUGCAGGCCUUCAACUCUUCUAUGAAAGAACUUAGAGAGUGCUAAAGCAAGUUGAGAAGCUCUUGUUGCUGAUCUACAAUUCUUAAGGGACCAAGUAACAAUCACACAGGUAAGUCAGAAUUAUGUGCAAAAUGGAGGUCCAUGUUGCUUUGCAGGCCGUUUACUACAUCAGUUUUGGGUAGGGCUCUUAAUCUCAAACUACUGUGCUGUGAUUUUUAUGAUUUGUGUGAGGCUAUUGGAAAGUCAUGUUAAUUUGUGGCAACCUAGAUUAAGGUCAAUGUUGCACUUGUGUGCACUUGAAAAAUUCUAACCUUUUCUUAGGACCACAUGCUUUAGUUUAUUAUGGCAAUUGGGCUGGUGGCCCUUGGGAUUUGCUCUUUGUCUGGGGGAAACAGCCUUUGACAGGUGAAUUAAUUUUUGGCAGGUUACGAUUGCUCGUGUGUAUAAUUGGGAUGUUCACCAAAUGGAGAGUUUAUCAAGCUGCUGCUGCUGCAAAAGACUCGUAAAGGGAUCUUUUUUACUCAAAUUAUGUAUCGGAAUGUAUACUCCGGAUGGGAGUAUGACUUUAAUCUUCCCAUUUGCGGUUAGGUUCAUGAGUUACUUGUUGCUCUGUGAUCUCAAUUGUCACACCUUGACUAAGUGAUUUUGGUUAGGUUUAGAGUGAUCUGUUGCAGUACAAAAAGCUUAUGUCAUGUAGAGAAUAUUAAUUCAGAACCUCUUGGGCUUGACCAUUACUUUUUGAAUACUGCACACUAGUGUUGAGUUAUCUUUUGUCAA